ACGUAGGAGGCAAGCGUUAUCCGGAGUUACUGGGCGUAAAGGGCGUGUAGGCGGUUCGGUGAGUUGGAUGUGAAAGCUCCUGGCUUAACUGGGAGAGGUCGGAUGAGACUGCCGAGCUAGAGGGUCGUAGAGGGGUGUGGAAUUCCGGGUGUAGUGGUGAAAUGCGUAGAGAUCCGGAGGAACACCAGAGGCGAAGGCGGCACCCUGGACGACACCAGACGCUGAGACGCGACAGCACGGGGAGCGAACGG
rnacentral:rRNA from 1 species